GACGAACGCUGGCGGCGUGCUUAACACAUGCAAGUCGAACGGAAAGGCCCUGCUUUUGUGGGGUGCUCGAGUGGCGAACGGGUGAGUAACACGUGAGUAACCUGCCCUUGACUUUGGGAUAACUUCAGGAAACUGGGGCUAAUACCGGAUAGGAGCUCCUGCUGCAUGGUGGGGGUUGGAAAGUUUCGGCGGUUGGGGAUGGACUCGCGGCUUAUCAGCUUGUUGGUGGGGUAGUGGCUUACCAAGGCUUUGACGGGUAGUCGGCCUGAGAGGGUGACCGGCCACAUUGGGACUGAGAUACGGCCCAGAAUCCUACGGGAGGGAGCAGCGCGGGAUGAUGCAUAAUGGGCCGAAUCCUGAUCCAGCAACGUCGCGUGCGGGAUGACGGCCUUCGGGUUGUAAACCGCCUUCGCCUGUGACGAAGCGUGAGUGACGAUAAUGGGUAAAGAAGCACCGGCUAACUACGUG
rnacentral:rRNA from 1 species